UACGUAGGGCGCAAGCGUUGUCCGGAAUUAUUGGGCGUAAAGAGCUCGUAGGCGGCUUGUCACGUCGGAUGUGAAAGCCCGAGGCUUAACCUCGGGUCUGCAUUCGAUACGGGCUAGCUAGAGUGUGGUAGGGGAGAUCGGAAUUCCUGGUGUAGCGGUGAAAUGCGCAGAUAUCAGGAGGAACACCGGUGGCGAAGGCGGCCGACUGGGCCGACCCUGACGCUGAGGCGCGAAGGCGUGGGGAGCGAACGGG
rnacentral:rRNA from 1 species